UUGAAAGGGAAACGAUUGAAGUCAGUCGUACCGACGGACAAUCAGCCUUUUGAGUGCGAUUCUGUGGGGCAUGAGGAGGAAACCCUCAUGUUUUGCAUAUUUGUGCUCUUUGGGUGUAUUUGUUCGUAUGGUGGGUUAACAUCAAUUUUGGUCGUCAUAAAAUGACGGGAGGAAUGUAGCUUUGGUCUCGUAUUGAAGUGUUAUAGCCUCUGGUAGAUGUGACGACCGGGAUUGAGGAUUGCAACGGAUACCUCUCGGGGCUACUCGCCUGAUCUCUGAUCGUUACUCUGGUGCCGAAAGCUUGCUUAUGUCAUCAAAGUUGAUGGUCAAAAGGUUAGAACGGGUUAAAUUCGUUAAGGAUGUUGACGUA
rnacentral:rRNA from 1 species